GCCAUCUCCUUGGUCUAGGAGCCAGCCAGACAAUGCACCUCUUGGAUGCCCAUCUUCAUUGUCAUUCUGCCCGAGCUCUGCCUGUUCCCCUGCCUCUCCAAAGGUCAACCAGAGGUCUUCACUGCUCCACUAAUGGGUGUACAAGCAGCCUGCACGCGGCGCCUGCUGUGACAGAGACACAGUUGGUAUACAGGAAUCCAAAUGGGAAUGUCUCUCCUGAAAUACAUCUUCCAUGAACAGUGUGGCAGAAAGUAGUAGGAAGAGGCUGAGGAAGAAGACAAGGUAACUCUGGAGACCACAAUAUCUUAGUGUGAGAAACAAGAAAAGGAAGGAAGGAAGGUGGG